rnacentral:rRNA from 1 species
UACGGAGGGUCCGAGCGUUGUCCGGAAUUAUUGGGCGUAAAGAGCUUGUAGGCGGUUUGUCGCGUCUGCUGUGAAAAUCCGGGGCUCAACCCCGGACUUGCAGUGGGUACGGGCAGACUAGGAGGUGUGGUAGGGGAGACUGGAAUUCCUGGUGUAGCGGUGAAAUGACGCAGAUAUCAGGAGGAACACCCGGAUGGCGAAGGCAGGUCUGCUGGGCGAAUUAACUGACGCUGGAGGAGCGAAAAGCAUGGGGAGCAACAGG